UGGGAGUACUCACUGCGGGAGAGCUUACGGCACGGUUCCAGGUCCCAACACCCCCAGGGGUCCCACUGUGUGAAUGGGGAGUCUUGAGGGGAGAAGCGAGGCCCAGCAGAGACACAGGUGCCCUCUGUGCUGUGCCCACCACCGCCCUCCCCAGGGAGGCUCAGAGGCAGCUGCGACCUGUUGCUUCUUGCCCAAAGGACACAGAGCUGUGAGACUCAGAGAGAAACAAAAGAGCUGAUGCAGAGAGCAGGGGAGAAGCCAGAGCCCAAAUCUGGGGCCUUGCUCAGAACAGCCCCGUUUUCUAGAACUGCAGAGUCCCCUCCCUCAAAGAGGCUGGGUCAGCUUCUUUCGCAGUAAAAUGUAAACAGGGAUCCUGCCUCUGGUCACCUCCUGCACUUCCCUUCCUUCCCCAGGUCUCCAGGGGGAUUACUGAAACCCCGUUUCCAGGGGCCAGAGCAGCAGGUCCUCUUGGAAGAUGGUUUGUAGGUGGCCCGGGGACACCAGGGUGGCCAGUAUUUUAAACCCGAGUUGUAGGUGAGCCAGGAGUAGUAAUUAAUUAAUUCGUGACAAAUCAGAAAUACAGACAGCUAUUUCUCAUCUGACAUCUCAUGCUUCAGCAACGACUUCUGGAAUAAGUGGGCCGCCAUGAUGUGAGCAGCUUUCCUCCUCCAGACCCAUCGUGCAACUUUUGCCUUGGAGCCUGCCAGUCAUGGAUCAACUCCCCUGAAACAGAGGCUCCAGCGUACCUUGUGGCAAGGCAGGGGGCUUGGUUUAAGCCUGAUGGUUCACUGGGAUCAACUUCCUAGGCAUUUGGACAGAGGUGGUUUCCAUGGAGCUGGGCAAGAGGUCAAUUCCUUUUCUGAGGUGUCAACUUACAGCAGAUCAUUUUGGUUUCAUCAGACGGCCAAGGGUCACCUUGAAGAAAGUAGUAACAUGUGGCAACCACGCAGCCCAUCUACCACAGUGGUCUCAUGGGACCAGAUUGCCUAGUGACUGCUUAGCUCUCUGAGCUUGGAAUGGACCUUUUCCUAUGGAGGGCUCCAGCUCCAGCUCCUAGAACAGGCCGUCAUUAUUCCCUGCAGAAGGACCCAUCAGGUUUCACUCUUCAUCGAACCUGCUUUUUCCCACGGCUUCACAAGUUCUACAGAGCACCCCACCCCUGGUCCCUGCCAAUAGACCCAGCUCCAGA